CGAUCUAUGAUCUCAAUUGAGAAACUCUGUUUUUACUUUGUCUAUCAAGUCAGUUUAGUCGGAUAGCUUGUCUCUGCCUCGCUGUAAAGAAUCCGUCAAGAUAUUUGGAGAUUUCAUUAGAUCGUAACUGGGGGUGACGAUGUGCAGGUUUUUGAUUGUCUACACGACUGUUGCAGUUCUUGGGGUGCUGAUCAGUUCUACUGAUGGAUGGGGCAGGAUCCGGGUACCAAGAAUUAGAAUACCGCCCAUUAGAAUAAGAAUUCCCACCAAUCCUAAAACUCCAGCUCCGGUCACUCAGGCUCCGACAACAAAGGCGCCUAUCACAACACAGCCACCGACACAGCCGCCGACCACAACACAGCCACCGACACAGCCGCCGACGCAGCCACCGACAACGAGUGCUCCUGUCGCUGUUGCUCCGACGACAAUUGAUCCCGAGUUAAUUGAUGAAUGUGAAAACGCUUAAAAAUUUGUUGUUUAUCAUUUUAAAUAUCAAUAAAUUUCUGUACUCGACAAUAAUAAACGGAAAUAACUUUAUGAAAAAGA